UAUCCUGUCUGAAUAUGGGGGGACCAUCCUCCAAGGCUAAAUACUCCUGACUGACCGAUAGUGAACCAGUACCGUGAGGGAAAGGCGAAAAGAACCCCGGCGAGGGGAGUGAAAAAGAACCUGAAACCGUGUACGUACAAGCAGUGGGAGCCUCUUUAUGGGGUGACUGCGUACCUUUUGUAUAAUGGGUCAGCGACUUAUAUUCUGUAGCAAGGUUAACCGUAUAGGGGAGCCGAAGGGAAACCGAGUCUUAACUGGGCGUUAAGUUGCAGGGUAUAGACCCGAAACCCGGUGAUCUAGCCAUGGGCAGGUUGAAGGUUGGGUAACACUAACUGGAGGACCGAACCGACUAAUGUUGAAAAAUUAGCGGAUGACCUGUGGCUGGGGGUGAAAGGCCAAUCAAACCGGGAGAUAGCUGGUUCUCCCCGAAAGCUAUUUAGGUAGCGCCUCGUGAACUCAUCUUCGGGGGUAGAGCACUGUUUCGGCUAGGGGGCCAUCCCGGCUUACCAACCCGAUGCAAACUACGAAUACCGAAGAAUGUUAUCACGGGAGACACACGGCGGGUGCUAACGUCCGUCGUGAAGAGGGAAACAACCCAGACCGCCAGCUAAGGUCCCAAAGUCAUGGUUAAGUGGGAAACGAUGUGGGAAGGCACAGACAGCCAGGAUGUUGGCUUAGAAGCAGCCAUCAUUUAAAGAAAGCGUAAUAGCUCACUGGUCGAGUCGGCCUGCGCGGAAGAUGUAACGGGGCUAAACCAUGCACCGAAGCUGCGGCAGCGACGCUUAUGCGUUGUUGGGUAGGGGAGCGUUCUGUAAGCCGUUGAAGGUGUGCUGUGAGGCAUGCUGGAGGUAUCAGAAGUGCGAAUGCUGACAUAAGUAACGAUAAAGCGGGUGAAAAGCCCGCUCGCCGGAAGACCAAGGGUUCCUGUCCAACGUUAAUCGGGGCAGGGUGAGUCGACCCCUAAGGCGAGGCCGAAAGGCGUAGUCGAUGGGAAACAGGUUAAUAUUCCUGUACUUGGUGUUACUGCGAAGGGGGGACGGAGAAGGCUAUGUCAGCCGGGCGACGGUUGUCCCGGUUUAAGCAUGUAGGCGGAGGUUCCAGGUAAAUCCGGUACCUUAUUAACGCUGAGGUGUGAUGACGAGGCACUACGGUGCUGAAGUGAUAAAUGCCCUGCUUCCAGGAAAAGCCUCUAAGCAUCAGGUAACACGAAAUCGUACCCCAAACCGACACAGGUGGUCAGGUAGAGAAUACCAAGGCGCUUGAGAGAACUCGGGUGAAGGAACUAGGCAAAAUGGUGCCGUAACUUCGGGAGAAGGCACGCUGAUAUGUAGGUGAAGCCCCUGCGGGCGGAGCUGAAAUCAGUCGAAGAUACCAGCUGGCUGCAACUGUUUAUUAAAAACACAGCACUGUGCAAACACGAAAGUGGACGUAUACGGUGUGACGCCUGCCCGGUGCCGGAAGGUUAAUUGAUGGGGUUAGCGGCAACGCGAAGCUCUUGAUCGAAGCCCCGGUAAACGGCGGCCGUAACUAUAACGGUCCUAAGGUAGCGAAAUUCCUUGUCGGGUAAGUUCCGACCUGCACGAAUGGCGUAAUGAUGGCCAGGCUGUCUCCACCCGAGACUCAGUGAAAUUGAACUCGCUGUGAAGAUGCAGUGUACCCGCGGCAAGACGGAAAGACCCCGUGAACCUUUACUAUAGCUUGACACUGAACACUGGUCCUUGAUGUGUAGGAUAGGUGGGAGGCUUUGAAGCGUGGACGCCAGUCUGCGUGGAGCCAUCCUUGAAAUACCACCCUUUAAUGGCUGGUGUUCUAACGUAGACCCGUGAUCCGGGUUGCGGACAGUGUCUGGUGGGUAGUUUGACUGGGGCGGUCUCCUCCCAAAGAGUAACGGAGGAGCACGAAGGUUGGCUAAUCCUGGUCGGACAUCAGGAGGUUAGUGCAAUGGCAUAAGCCAGCUUGACUGCGAGCGUGACGGCGCGAGCAGGUGCGAAAGCAGGUCAUAGUGAUCCGGUGGUUCUGAAUGGAAGGGCCAUCGCUCAACGGAUAAAAGGUACUCCGGGGAUAACAGGCUGAUACCGCCCAAGAGUUCAUAUCGACGGCGGUGUUUGGCACCUCGAUGUCGGCUCAUCACAUCCUGGGGCUGAAGUAGGUCCCAAGGGUAUGGCUGUUCGCCAUUUAAAGUGGUACGCGAGCUGGGUUUAGAACGUCGUGAGACAGUUCGGUCCCUAUCUGCCGUGGGCGCUGGAGAAUUGAGGGGGGCUGCUCCUAGUACGAGAGGACCGGAGUGGACGCAUCACUGGUGUUCGGGUUGUCAUGCCAAUGGCACUGCCCGGUAGCUAAAUGCGGAAGAGAUAAGUGCUGAAAGCAUCUAAGCACGAAACUUGCCCCGAGAUGAGUUCUCCCUGAGACCUUGAGUCUCCUGAAGGAACGUUGAAGACGACGACGUUGAUAGGUCGGGUGUGUAAGCGCAGCGAUGCGUUGAGCUAACCGAUACUAAUGAACCGUGAGGCUUAACCUUACAACGCCGAAGGUGUUU
rnacentral:rRNA from 1 species